GGAGAGAUGGCUGAGUUUGGUUGAAAGCGCACGACUGGAAAUCGUGUAGACGGAUGUAUAAUCUGUCUCGAGGGUUCGAAUCCCUCUCUCUCCGCCA
rnacentral:tRNA from 2 species